GGCCUGGUGGCCUAAUGGUAAGGCGUUGCUUUCCGGUGUCUUGUCCAAAGAGUCGAGUGUGGCAAAGAUUGCGGGUUCGAGUCCCGUCUGGGUCG